GAACGAGAAAGGGGAGCAAUCCCUGAGUAAAGUGGCGUACGGGUGAGUAACACGUGGGUUAUCUGCCUCUUUGUGUGGAAUAACCCUGGGAAACCGGGGCUAAUACCGCAUAAGCCCGAGAGGGGAAAGCAGCAAUGCGCUGAGAGAGGAGCCCGCGGCCGAUUAGCUAGUUGGUGAGGUAACGGCCCACCAAGGCAAAGAUCGGUAGCCGGCCUGAGAGGGCACACGGCCACACUGGCACUGAAACACGGGCCAGACUCCUACGGGAGGCAGCAGUGGGGAAUCUUGCACAAUGGGGGAAACCCUGAUGCAGCGACGCCGCGUGAGCGAUGAAGCCCUUCGGGGUGUAAAGCUCUUUCGGCAGGGAAGAUGAUGACGGUACCUGCAGAAGCAGCUGCGGCUAACUACGUGCCAGCAGCCGCGGUAAUACGUAGGCAGCAAGCGUUGUUCGGAGUUACUGGGCGUAAAGGGUGUGUAGGCGGUCCCUUAAGUUUGGUGUGAAAUCUCCCGGCUCAACCGGGAGGGUGCGCCGAAUACUGAGGGGCUAGAGUGCGGGAGAGGAGAGUGGAAUUCCUGGUGUAGCGGUGAAAUGCGUAGAUAUCAGGAGGAACACCGGUGGUGUAAACGGCUCUCUGGACCGUAACUGACGCUGAAACACGAAAGCGUGGGUAGCAAACAGGAUUAGAUACCCUGGUAGUCCACGCCCUAAACGAUGCAUAUUUGGUGUGGGUCAUUCAGUUGAUCCGUG
rnacentral:rRNA from 1 species